rnacentral:rRNA from 1 species
CCUACGGGCGGCUGCAGUGGGGAAUAUUGCACAAUGGGGGAAACCCUGAUGCAGCGACGCCGCGUGAGUGAAGAAGUAAUUCGUUAUGUAAAGCUCUAUCAGCAGGGAAGAAAAUGACGGUACCUGAGUAAGAAGCCCCGGCUAACUACGUGCCAGCAGCCGCGGUAAGACGUAGGGGGCAAGCGUUAUCAGGAUUUACUGGGUGUAAAGGGAGCGUAGACGGCAGUGCAAGUCUGGAGUGAAAGGCGGAGGCUCAACCCCCGGACUGCUCUGGAAACUGUACGGCUGGAGUGCAGGAGAGGUAAGUGGAAUUCCUGGAGUAGCGGUGAAAUGCGUAGAUAUUAGGAGGAACACCAGUGGCGAAGGCGGCUUACUGGACUGUAACUGACGUUGAGGCUCGAAAGCGUGGGGAGCAAACAGGAUUAGAUACCCGUGUAGUC